rnacentral:miRNA from 1 species
UGAGCUGCUGGGAUUAUAGGUGCGAACCACCAUACCCAGUUGAAUCCUAGACCUUUAAAACUCAAUUUUGAACUGAGUGUGGUGGUUCACACCUGUAAUCCCAGUGGGCUCU